GUGUGUGUGUGUGUGUGUGUUGAGCUGCAGUCAAUGUGUCUGGAGUAACACACACUGGACUGUGUUUGUAAUUGUGCUAACACGCUGAGAGGAAGAGCUGCUCCGAACACCUCGUUCUCUGGAUAAAGAUGAGCGGCGGUCUGUCAGAGACACCUGCGGGGGGCCUGUCACCCAAAACUGUGCUGCACAGAGAGAUUUAGAAAUGGGAAACACCUGUGACCGAACGAGGCCGUGACCAAUGGGUUUCAAAGUUUUGGUUUAAUAGUCUUCCAAAGGAGGGCCAGAAAUAUCUCAGGUUCCAAUAAAAGCAUCUUAAUUUGUGUUUUGAAGACGAAUGGACGAUUUAUGGGUUUGGAACAAUAUUAAGUUGUGACAGAACUUAUAUUUUUGGGUGAAGUAAUACUUUAAGGAGCUUAAUUAAAUGUGUUGUGCAUUGCAUGUUAAAGAUGAAUUGUGUAUGUUGUGCUUUACCAUAUUUAAUAAGCUCAGUGUAUGUGCAUUGAUCAGUUUUAAUAUGUGAAUGCAUACUUAAUUAAAUCUUUUCAUCACAUAACAGAUUAAUAUGGAUUACCUCAAUAAAUUCUUCAAGAGUCAAUGUUUUGGUGUAAUGGACAUCUGAUGGAGAGCCAGAAGUGUCUUCAUCCGAGCGGAUCUCAAGGUUGUGUUGCAGGUCUGGGCUGUUGCAGGUUUGUUUCGGUGCAGUUACCUCACUGUCAAGCCAGAACACAUCAGGGUUUGUGGGAACUAGUCAAACAUCCCACGACAAAGCCCACAAACACAGACUGAACAUGUUCAGUGGCUGAAAACAAACAGCAUCAGGGUUGAAGUGUGAAGGAGUCUGGCGUGUUUUCCCCGUCGGGGUGAAGGUUAUUGAAAUAAGUACUCAGCUCUGUAUCUGAAUGCUGCAGUGUUUAAAGAUGGUGUCAAACAAAUGUCCUCCUCUCCAGAUGAGUUUAUCAAAGCCGUCUCGCUGGAGGACACUGUGAUUAAAAACACUGGUGUCCUCAGCAGGCCCAACCGCUUCAAAACCCAGCGCUGCCUUUUCACAUGAACGCCAAGAAGAGAGGUUUUCAUCUUCCCUCAGUGAUAUUUGGGGCUUAUUUUCUGUGUGGUAGCACAAUCUUGUGAAGUGUUUGUGAACGCCGCACAUCCAGUGAUGUAUUACGGCUCAGACUCGCAGAACUCAGAUUACAGAUUCAAUUUCACAUGUUGGAUGAAAUAAAUAUUUAAAAACUUUUGUAAGUGGGUCGUUACUCACUAGCCAAGUUUCCAAAAUGAAAAUGCGUAAAAAAAAAAAAAAG